rnacentral:rRNA from 1 species
GACGAACGCUGGCGGCGUGCUUAACACAUGCAAGUCGAACGGAAAGGCCCUGCUUUUGUGGGGUGCUCGAGUGGCGAACGGGUGAGUAACACGUGAGUAACCUGCCCUUGACUUUGGGAUAACUUCAGGAAACUGGGGCUAAUACCGGAUAGGAGCUCCUGCUGCAUGGUGGGGGUUGGAAAGUUUCGGCGGUUGGGGAUGGACUCGCGGCUUAUCAGCUUGUUGGUGGGGUAGUGGCUUACCAAGGCUUUGACGGGUAGCCGGCCUGAGAGGGUGACCGGCCACCUUGGGACUGAGAUACGGACCAGACUCCUACGGGAGGCAGCGGUGGGGAAUAUUGCACAAUGGGCGGAAGCCUGAUGCAGCAACGCCGCGUGCGGGAUGACGGCCUUCGGGUUGUAAACCGCUUUCGCCUGUGACGAAGCGUGAGUGACGGUAAUGGGUAAAGAAGCACCGGCUAACUACGUG